GACGAACGCUGGCGGCGUGCUUAACACAUGCAAGUCGAACGGAAAGGCCCUGCUUUUGUGGGGUGCUCGAGUGGCGAACGGGUGAGUAACACGUGAGUAACCUGCACUUGACUGUGGGAUAACUUCAGGAAACUGGGGCUAAUACCGGAUAGGAGCUCCUGCUGCAUGGUGGGGGUUGGAAAGUUUCGGCGGUUGGGGAUGGACUCGCGGCUUAUCAGCUUGGUGGUGGGGUAGUGGCUUACCAAGGCUUUGACGGGUAGCCGGCCUGAGAGGGUGACCGGCCACAUUGGGCCUGAGAUACGGCCCAGACUCCUCCGGGAGGCAGCAGUGGGGAAUAUUGCACAGUGGGCGGAAGCCUGAUGCAGCACCGCCGCGUGCGGGAUGACGGCCUUCGGGUUGUAAACCGCUUUCGCCUGUGACGAAGCGUUAGUGACGGUAAUGGGUAAAGAAGCACCGGCUAACUCCGUG
rnacentral:rRNA from 1 species